GACGAACGCUGGCGGCGUGCUUAACACAUGCAAGUCGAACGAAGAGGCGAACGGGGGAGUAAUACGUGGGUAACCUGCCCUCCUUUUUGGGGUAAGCCUUGGAAAAGGGGUCUAAUACCGAAUAAAGGGGGAGGGGCGCGCGGAUUAUCAGCUGGUUGGUGGCGUGAUGGCCUACCAAGGCGGUGACGGGUAGCCGGCCUGAGAGGGUGACCUGCCACAUAGAGACGGUGAAACGUCCCAGGCGCCUACGGGAGGCAGCAUUGGGGGAUAUUGCACAAUGCGCGAAAGCCUUAUGCAGCGUCGACGCAUGGGGGCUGCAGGCUUUCGGGUUGUAAACCUCUUUCGGUAGCGAAUCGGUAGGUGCAGAAGAAGCGCCGGCUAACUACGUGCCAGCAGCCGCGGUAAUUC
rnacentral:rRNA from 1 species